AGUGAACGCUGGCGGUAGGCCUAACACAUGCAAGUCGAACGGCAGCACAGUAAGAGCUUGCUCUUACGGGUGGCGAGUGGCGGACGGGUGAGGAAUACAGCGGAAUCUACUUUUUCGUGGGGGAUAACGUAGGGAAACUUACGCUAAUACCGCAUACGACCUACGGGUGAAAGCAGGGGAUCUUCGGACCUUGCGCGAUUGAAUGGGCCGAUGUCGGAUUAGCUAGUUGGCGGGGUAAAGGCCCACCAAGGCGACGAUCCGUAGCUGGUCUGAGAGGAUGAUCCGCCCCACUGGAACUGAGCCACGGUCCAGACUCCUACGGGAGGCAGCAGCGGGGAAUAUUGGACAAUGGGCGCAAGCCUGAUCCAGCCAUACCGCGUGGGUGAAGAAGGCCUUCGGGUUGUAAAGCCCUUUUGUUGGGAAAGAAAAGCAGCAGGUUAAUACCCCGCUGUUCUGACGGUACCCAAAGAAUAAGCACCGGCUAACUUCGUG
rnacentral:rRNA from 1 species